AGUCUUCUCCCCCGGAGGCCUGGCGGUGGCUACCUCACGCUGGAAGUCAGAACUACAGGGCCGCCGCCACGCAGUUUGUGAUUUCCCAAGGGCAAGGACUGAAUACCCUGCUCAAGAGCCUGGUGCCUGGCAUAGACAAGAAUGCUGAGGAAGAUUCAAUAGCUGUGUUACUCAAAAGCUGAUAUAAAAGUUCAUCUGGAAAAGU
rnacentral:lncRNA from 1 species